rnacentral:rRNA from 1 species
CCUACGGGUGGCAGCAGUGGGGAAUCUUCGGCAAUGGGCGCAAGCCUGACCCAGCAACGCCGCGUGAAGGAAGAAGGCUUUCGGGUUGUAAACUUCUUUUCUCAGGGACGAAGAAUGUGACGGUACCUAAGGAAUAAGCCACGGCUAACUACGUGCCAGCAGCCGCGGUAAUACGUAGGUGGCAAGCGUUAUCCGGAUUUACUGGGUGUAAAGGGCGUGUAGGCGGGGCAACAAGUCCGAUGUGAAAACCACGGGCUCAACCUGUGGCGGGCAUUUGAAACUGUUUUUCUUGAGUACUGGAGAGGCAGACGGAAUUCCUAGUGUAGCGGUGAAAUGCGUAGAGAUUAGGAGGAACACCAGUGGCGAAGGCGGUCUGCUGGACAGCAACUGACGCUGAGGCGCGAAAGCGUGGGGAGCAAACAGGAUUAGAUACCCGUGUAGUC